rnacentral:lncRNA from 1 species
CCAACAACGAGCCCCUCCCCACCCGUGACGAAGGUUAGCCUAUAUAUGGACAGUGGCGCGGGGGAGGGAGGCUGGAGGGGGACGACAGAUUUCCAGCCUCCACGACGCUCUGCCUAAAUUAAAAAGCAACCAAUCGGAACGGCCGGAAGGGGGGCCGCGCGUCCUGAGCCAGUCAUUCCGGGGCUGCCAGUCACGCAGCGGGUAGCCAAUCCGCGGGGUCCCUGGCGCUCGACUUCCUUGUAUUUGGGAAAGUGUGGUGGUGGGUGCGCGCUCGCGGCGGAGGGUAAACAUUCGACAGUCCCCGCUCUGAGAGGGAGGGACAGAGAGCGAACUGUCAGAUCGGAGCGAGAGCGGGCGCGCGAGAGAGAGAGGGAGGGAGAGAGAGGGAAAGUGAGCGAGGGAGAGAGCGAGCGCGAGCUAGGGCGCACAGCGAGCUCCCGCUGCAACUGGGCUCGGGCACGGCCAGCGCCCGCGAGCCGCGCAGCGUGCCCACCGGAGUCGGUUGUGUACCCAGGAGCCCCCCUAUGCACACACACACCUCCACCAAUGCACUCUCCAGACAACUGCUGGGAAAAAAAUAAAACACCAGCCCCAACCGCCAGCAACAAGGAAAGAUGUCGCAUCAGACUGUGACUGUUGCGAGGAGGAUGACAAGAGACUCUUGUUUCGGAGAGCUCCGGCAGUAACAACUUCAGAGAAAUGCGCCACCGCCAAGAAGUUUUCCUAGGACAGAACCAAAGUUGAGACGGCGGCAGGAGCAGAGCGGGAGAGAGGAGCCAGCCUCCCCUCUCGGCCCCCGCGCGCAGCCGACACCGCCACCGCCACCACGCCUUCAGGGGACGGAAAAAGUUUUGCGAGUGAGAUGCGUCCCUAAGGAGGCGAGAGGAGCGCGCACCAGGGCAGGGCCGGGCCGGCGGCCGGCCACCCCCGCGAGUCGGCCGGGGAAGAAAGGCACGGCGGCUUCCUUUGUUGUCUCCGACGAAACCUGCGCUUGGCAGGUGGACUGAGCCCGCAGCCCGGCCGAGGGCAGGAGGAGCGGGAGCCGGCGCGCGCCCCCGGGAGAGAGCCCCAAGUGCAGGUUCCCGCCCCCGCCCGGAUUGCCCCGCUGGAACGAGCCGAGCGCGCCGGGGCCGGGGGGCGGCCACGACCCCCCCUGAAGGGGGUGGCCACGGAGCGCGCCCGGAGAAGCGAGCCCCCCUCCCCAGAGCGCUGCUCCUGCUGCUGCUGCUGCUGCUGCUGCUGACCAAGGCCGGCCGGCGACCCCCGCGCCCUGUCGAGCGGCCCUGUCGUUGCAUUCGGCGGC